CACAGCCCCGCUACACACACCUGCACGUGUGGCACAGCCGUGUGAUGGCACGCACACCUGACACACCGCGCAGUCGUGUGUGUGGCACACAACCCUUUCGCAUCUGUGCACACACACCUGUGCGCGCACCUGCCUGAGCCAUGGCACACACACCGCACACGCGCCACGCCAAACCCUCCCAGCCUUACACCCGCACACGGCAAGCCCCCAUGUGAUGGCACACACGCCUUACACACACUUUACACACACACACCCACAGCAGGCAGCCAUGUGAUGGCACAAAUGCCUUAUAUUCUCUUUACACUCACCUUACACACACACACCUCGCAUACUUCGCACACACCCACACACGCGUUAUUCCUGUGCACACACCAGCCUGAGCUGUGACACAACAUGUCUAAGCCACGCCAAACCUUCUCCCUCCCCACUGUACUGGUACCUCACACCCCCAGCUCCUCUGAGCCAGACGAUCCCCUCAGGACAAGAUGGGGGACCCAACGUUCCCUGUUUGUGCCCCCGCCACCUUCGCAUCCUGCAUGUCCCUGUAGAGCUACAGGGUGACCACCCCACCCCUCACCACAGUGGUAGCACCACCUCCACCCUCCAGAGCCUCCCACGGCACCCCCAAGGAGCGAGUCAGGCCCAGGCUCGUUUUCAUUCACUUUUCCGCAUACUUUAUUUGUUACAAACAUACAAUUCUUUAAAUAUAGACUGUAAAACUCCAUUUGCAAAAAUCUGCUACGUCAGGAGUGCUCGGAGCAGGAGGAGUUCGUCGCGUCGGCCUCAUCUGCGCUAGUGGUAACACCCAGGACCUGCCUCCGGCCCCUGGAGCCGCCCCGCCGGCUGCAGGGAAGGGACACGGGGGCCCCGGUCCCCCCGGCUGCCUAAAGUGCAGGGACAUCAUGGCGAGCGCUCGGGGAGGGAGGUGGCGCUCCUGGGAUCUGCUGCUCUGAGGAGGAUCCGGUGCUCGGAGGAGGAUCCGACAUUCGUAGGAUCCAGUUGUCAGAGGAUCCAGUUCUCCGAGGAGGAUCUGCUGCUUGGAGAAGAACCCAGCUCAAAGAGGAGGGUCCAGUGUUUGGAGGAUCCAGCUCUCAGAGGAUCCAACUCAGAAGAUCCAGCUUUUGGAUACAAUUCUUGGAGGACCCAGCUGUCAGAGAAUCCAAGUCUGGGAGCGCCUGGCUCUUGGAGGAGGAUCCAGUGCUCUCCCCACUGAUGCUGUCCCAGCCUCCUGGCUGGGCUGACCCGUGUGCUGGGGCCUGGUGAGCCACCUGUGCUGGACCAGCUGCCUCUCAGCUGCUGCUCCGAGGCCAGAGCCCCCUGGGGCCGCUGUUGUGGGGCUGAACCCCGGGGGCUGCAGGCUGUGCAGUGCUCCUUCCUGGCUGUCCUGCCUGGAUCUGGGUUCUCCUGCCAACACCCAACCCCGUGGCUUGGCUCCAGUGCCGCUGGCUCUACCGGCUCCGCGAGGAUAAGGAGGGCGAUGGCACCUGUGGCCUCGCCCUGCAGGAACAUCUGGGAGCAUCCAUGAAGCCAGCUGGGAUUUCCCACUGGGAACACCUACUGAGCUCCGUGGUGCACCACCCUGCGUACCCCCAGUGCUCUCUCAGCUGCUUUUUUUUAUCUUUUCCAGUUUUUUUGCGAUUUUUUUCCACUUUUUGCUUUUUUAUGAGAGGCCAGUGAGGGGUUGGGUUGGUUUUGUCACCAACAUGAGGAGCCGCCACUGGCACUGCCCCCCAAACCAUCCUACACCGCUCCCAAAUCGCCUGGAAACAGGCAGGAGAAUCCGAAUUUUCUUCCAUGUUUUUUAGGGCAAAACGAAUUGAAGCUGUUUGAACUUGCCCUGGAAGCACCACCCACUCCAGACCCAGCCAUUUGGGGUAUUUUCCACUGGGUUUUGGGGCAUUGUACAAGACUUACAAUAUUCUGUCUGUAAAGCCAUCAUCGCAUUCUCCAUCAACCCCUCUGGGGCAGCAAAGCUGGAAGUACCAGGAAUUUGGGAUAUUUUUUCCCUAUUUGUGGUUUAAAAAUAAAAAAAAAAAAAAAGCAAUUUGCCCAUUUUCUACAGAAUUCAACCCAAAACCCAACCGAAUCUGAGCUAUGUACACACAGCCAUGUCUAUACACACAGAGAUGGGAAGGGGGUUCAGGGGAGAUGCCGGCGUUGUCCUGCUUUCCUGGGAAACACCCAACGGCUCCUGGGGGACUCCAAGAGAAAAACAACCCAAAAAUUCUCCCCCAAGAUCCCCUCCCCCAUGGCAGCCCCCAUGGCCGCUCCCCUUGUUUCAGCUGGCACCUCAAAUCCCCUUUUUUCCCUAUUUUAUCUCAUUUUGUCUGUUUUUUCUGCUGUCUUCCCCCGACGUGCUCUGCUCUUCCCACCCAAAUGGAGCUGUGGGAGAUUCUGUCCAUGGAUCCAGCACUUCUCUGGCCAGGAAAGACUCCCUGAGCCAACGCCGGGAGCUUUUUUGGGUUUAUUACUGGAUUUUGGUGGUUUUGCCUUUUUUUUUUUUUUUUCCUCUUCCAUGUAUUUCUAGCCAGCUCCCAGAGCUGGGCCGGGCCAGCAGUGAUUCUGCCGCUCUCCCAGAGUAGAAAUAAGGCUAAAUCACCGCAAUUCAGCCAAAAGAAAGAAACCCAAAGGAAUAUAUAUAUAUUUUUAUAUAUAUAUAUAUAUAUAUAUAUCUCUCAUCCUCUUCAAAAAUAAAAGGAGAGGUCCCGCGGCUGGACGCCGGUGAGUCCCGCGGAGGUGGGAGCGUUUUUCCCCCCAAAUCCAUUGUCGCCGUCGUGGUUUAUGGUUUUUCUCCGUGGCAAAGAACACAGGACCAGGAGGAUGGGUGGAUACAGCAGGAAUUCACCGGAAAGAGCUGCCUGAGGGUACAAAAUACAGUACGGACACAUCAGCCAUCGAGGAAGGACUAUUGCUCCCGUGUGAUUGAGUGAGGGAUCCGGGUCCUUUGCGACGGAGAAGGCUUAAAAACGGGAUCAAUGGAAGAAAUUCGCUUUAAAAAUCCCUUUAAAAACAGCGACGGCAGCGGGAGCAGUGGGAGCAGCGCGAUGGGGCCGGAUGGACGGAUGGACAGCAGCGUCCCUGCGGUGCGGGGGUCCCCCAGGGCUCUGCGGCUGUUCCUCACUUCCCAAUAAAUAUGGAGAGUGGGAGAUGCCGGAUCCAUGGUAAUAAAUUAAGGAGGCAGCUGAUUGGGCUCCCAAAAAUGGAUUAAAAGGAAAAAAAAAAAAAAAAAAAAAAAAAAAAAAAAAAAAAAAAAAAGAAAAAAAAAAAAGAAAAAAGAAAAGUCCUAAAAUGGUGAAACCGUUGGAGAAGAAGAGGCAAAACUUUGGAAUGAGAGCGAUGGAGUUCAGAGUUGUGGGAAAACGGGGUGAAAAACCGGAAUUCUGGGAAGGGCGGGACUGAGCUGAGGGAGUGAAAAAGAAUUUAAAAAAAAGACUAUUUGAGAGUGGAAAAAUGUGUUUAAUAGGAGGUGGUUGUAGGGACCAGGCAGCGCCAGGGCCAGGCCCAGGGGGUUAUAAAAAGACAAAAGGAGGCAAAAAAUAACAAUAAACCUCCAAAAUCCACCCCCAAGGUGCCGGGGCCGGGCGUGGCCACGGAUUUGGGGCCGGAAAAUCCAAUUUGGGUGAAGCCAAGGGGCGGAUUCCGGCGGGUCCUAGUGAAACGGGGCCGGAGGCGCCUUAUUUGGAGAGAAGUGGAAGAUGGUUCGCCCCGUCGAGUUUUUCCUUGUGCUUUGUGCCGGCGCCUCCCCCUUUCCGGCGGGAAACGGGGAGGGGGGAAAAACGGUCAGAAAUCGGCAAAACCGAGAAAAUAUUCCCUAAUUGUCAGGGAGCCGCCAGCUCGGGGCCGGUUCCAGUUCGGGUGCCCGGAGUUUGCAUCAAAAAAAACAAACAAAAAAACCCCCAAAAAACAAAACAAAAAAAAAAAA